GGGCGUUUGGUCUAGGGGUAUGAUUUUCGCUUCGCAACAACAACACAAGAUGUUGUGCAGAUGUGAAAGGUCAUGGGUUCAAUUCCCAUAACGUCCA